rnacentral:rRNA from 2 species
ACGGGAGGCAGCAGUGGGGGAUAUUGCACAAUGGGGGAAACCCUGAUGCAGCAACGCCGCGUGAGGGAAGAAGGUUUUCGGAUUGUAAACCUCUGUCCUUAGUGAAGAAGAAGUGACAGUAGCUAAGGAGGAAGCUCCGGCUAACUACGUGCCAGCAGCCGCGGUAAUACGUAGGGAGCGAGCGUUGUCCGGAUUUACUGGGUGUAAAGGGUGCGUAGGCGGCCAACCAAGUCAGGCGUGAAAUGCAGAGGCUUAACCACUGAACUGCGCUUGAAACUGGAUGGCUUGAGUGAAGUAGAGGUAGGCGGAAUUCCCGGUGUAGCGGUGAAAUGCGUAGAGAUCGGGAGGAACACCAGUGGCGAAGGCGGCUUACUGGGCUUUAACUGACGCUGAGGCACGAAAGCGUGGGGAGCAAACAGGAUUAGAUACCCUGGUA